rnacentral:rRNA from 1 species
AGCGGAGGAAAAGAAACUAACAAGGAUUCCCCUAGUAACGGCGAGUGAAGCGGGAAGAGCUCAAAUUUGUAAUCUGGCACUUUCAGUGUCCGAGUUGUAAUCUCGAGAAGUAUUUUCCGCGCCGGACUGCAUACAAGUCUGUUGGAAUACAGCGUCAUAGUGGUGAGAACCCCGUAACUGAUGCAGAUGCCCGGUGCUUUGUGAUAUACUUUCGAAGAGUCGAGUUGUUUGGGAAUGCAGCUCAAAUUGGGUGGUAAAUUCCAUCUAAAGCUAAAUAUUGGCGAGAGACCGAUAGCGAACAAGUACCGUGAGGGAAAGAUGAAAAGCACUUUGGAAAGAGAGUUAACAGUACGUGAAAUUGUUGGAAGGGAAACGCUUGAAGUCAGACUUGCUAUUUGGAAUUCAGCCGCAAGGUGUACUUUUCAAUUCGCAGGCCAGCAUCAGUUUUUGGGGGUGGAAAAGGGUAGAGAGAAGGUAGCAGUUUCGGCUGUGUUAUAGCUCUUUGCUGGAUUCAUCCUUGGGGACUGAGGAACGCAGCACGCUUUUUGCAAGGCUUUCGAGCUUUUCGUGCUUAGGAUGCUGGUGGAAUGGCUUUAAACGACCCGUCUUGA